UACACAUUUAGCAAGGAUCAAGUUGUGUGACUGUUGUGUCCCUUGUGCUUUAGUAGGUGGCAGAACAGAGAACCUUUAUCUACGCUCAAUGUUCUGACCUAUGAACAUCUGAAUGAUUAAUAACAUAACAUU
ensembl:snoRNA LOC120098401 small nucleolar RNA SNORA17